rnacentral:rRNA from 1 species
UGGGGCCUACGGGACGCAGCAGUGGGGAAUAUUGGGCAAUGGGCGCAAGCCUGACCCAGCAACGCCGCGUGAAGGAAGAAGGCUUUCGGGUUGUAAACUUCUUUUCUCAGGGACGAAGCAAGUGACGGUACCUGAGGAAUAAGCCACGGCUAACUACGUGCCAGCAGCCGCGGUCAUACGUAGGUGGCAAGCGUUAUCCGGAUUUACUGGGUGUAAAGGGCGUGUAGGCGGGAAAGGAAGUCCGAUGUGAAAACCAUGGGCUCAACCUGUGGCCUGAAUUUGAAACU